GCCAGCUCCAGAAGACGACAAGUGUUUGAACUCAGAAAAGCUACCACACCAGUGCCUGGGUCUUUCCCUCCUCCUUGAUCAACCAAGACACAAUGAAAGAAGCUCUAAGGAAAUGGCAAAAGGUAAAACCCUGACAGGGCAGGAGUCAGAAGAAGCUACAGUCGGAACUGUAAGAGCAUCUUCUCUUGGAGCUGCAAAGACAAGAAGCCUGGAUGGAGCUUCAGCCUCAGCAGUCUCCAGCCUACUGCCUUCCCUUCAUCCAGUAUGCAACAAAGGCUUGUCAAGCUCCCCUGCUCCAGGGCCUCUGCUAGGUUAAAUGGAGUACUGUUCAGAUAUGGAAAGAUCUACCAUCCCUUUCAUAGCAGACUUGCACAGCCAAGGAGGACUUUGAGCUGGGAUCUUGGUGUGAAAUGAAUUAUUCUGCUCCAGAAGACAGCAUCUUAAAUGCACCUGAGCCUGAAUCCUGGAUUUUGCUUCCUUUGUGUUCCUGCCAUUUGCUGUGAUAAAUACCUUUUCUCUCAACAGAAGGAAUAUACGGAUGUGGGCACAGCCAUCUCCCAAAUAACUAGGCUCCUCCAUCUGACUCAGUAGCCAUCCUUCUUCCCAGGACAUCUGCCUCGCAGAACCACCCUCCUGGGGAAUGAGCCAGUGUUUACCCGUGUGUGAUUCUUAAGCAUUUCCUGAGCAUCUGCUGAGCCCUCCACUCUGCAGGAGGUCUCUCUGCAACAUGCAAGUAAUUUCCUUCAAUAAACAUUCAUCAUAUGCUUUCCGUGUUGCA
rnacentral:lncRNA from 1 species